UAUUGGUCAAUGGACGAGAGUCUGAGCCAGCCAAGUAGCGUGAAGGAUGACUGCCCUAUGGGUUGUAAACUUCUUUUAUAUGGGAAUAAAGUUCAGUAUGUAUACUGUUUUGUAUGUACCAUAUGAAUAAGGAUCGGCUAACUCCGUGCCAGCAGCCCCGGUAAUACGGAGGAUCCGAGCGUUAUCCGGAUUUAGUGGGUUUAAAGGGAGGGUAGGCGGACGCUUAAGUCAGUUGUGAAAGUUUGCGGCUCAACCGUAAAAUUGCAGUUGAUACUGGGUGUCUUGAGUGCAGCAGAGGUAGGCGGAAUCCGUGGUGUAGCGGUGAAAUGCUUAGAUAUCACGAAGAACUCCGAUUGCGAAGGCAGCUUACUGGACUGUAACUGACGCUGAUGCUCGAAAGUGUGGGUAUCAAAC
rnacentral:rRNA from 1 species